AGUCUGCAACUCGACGUCUGCAACUCGACUCCAUGAAGUCGGAAUCGCUAGUAAUCGUAGAUCAGAAUGCUACGGUGAAUACGUUCCCGGGCCUUGUACACACCGCCCGUCACACCAUGGGAGUGGGCUGCACCAGAAGUAGAUAGUCUAACCUUCGGGGGGACGUUUACCACGGUGUGGUUCAUGACUGGGGUGAAGUCGUAACAAGGUAGCCCUAGGGGAACCUGGGGCUGGAUCACCUCCUUACCU
rnacentral:rRNA from 1 species